GACGAACGCUGGCGGCGUGCCUAAUACAUGCAAGUCGAGCGAACAGACGAGGAGCUUGGUCCUUUGAAGUUAGCGGCGGACGGGUGAGUAAGACGUGGCUAACCUACCUAUAAGACUGGGAUAACUUCGGGAAAGCGGAGAUAAUACCGGAUCACAUAUUGAACCGAAUGGUUCAAUAGUUAAAGACGGUUUUGCUGUCACUUAUAGAUGGAUCCGCUCCGCAUUAGCUAGUUGGUAAGGUAAGGGCUUACCAAGGCAACGAAGCCUAGCCGACCUGUUGGUGUGAUUCAGUCCGCGAGAACUCGCCCGCAGACCAGAGACCUGGGAGAUGCACCAGAUGGGAAGCUUGCGCAACAGGCGAAAGCCUGGAGGAGCAGCGUCGCGUCUGUUAUGGAAAUCUCCGGUCCGUAAAAGCCUCUUAAGGGGUAAGAAAAUAUGUGUAAAUUGCUUAGUCCGGCUUGACGGUAUCGUAAGAAUAAGCCCCGGCUAAAUACGUG
rnacentral:rRNA from 1 species